rnacentral:rRNA from 1 species
CCUACGGGAGGCAGCAGUGGGGGAUAUUGCACAAUGGGGGGAACCCUGAUGCAGCGACGCCGCGUGGGUGAAGAAGCGCCUCGGCGCGUAAAGCCCUGUCAGCAGGGAAGAAAAUGACGGUACCUGAAGAAGAAGCCCCGGCUAACUACGGGCCAGCAGCCGCGGGAAUACGUAGGGGGCAAGCGUUAUCCGGAUUUACUGGGUGUAAAGGGGGCGCAGACGGCGAUGCAAGCCAGGAGUGAAAGCCCGGGGCCCAACCCCGGGACUGCUCUUGGAACUGUGUGGCUGGAGUGCAGGAGGGGCAGGCGGAAUUCCUGGUGUAGCGGUGAAAUGCGUAGAUAUCAGGAGGAACACCGGUGGCGAAGGCGGCCUGCUGGACUGCAACUGACGUUGAGGCCCGAAAGCGUGGGGAGCAAACAGGAUUAGAUACCCCAGUAGUC